AGGAAAAGAAACCAACCGGGAUUGCCUUAGUAACGGCGAGUGAAGCGGCAAAAGCUCAAAUUUGAAAUCUGGUACCUUCGGUGCCCGAGUUGUAAUUUGGAGAGGGCAACUUUGGGGCCGUUCCUUGUCUAUGUUCCUUGGAACAGGACGUCAUAGAGGGUGAGAAUCCCGUGUGGCGAGGAGUGCGGUUCUUUGUAAAGUGCCUUCGAAGAGUCGAGUUGUUUGGGAAUGCAGCUCUAAGUGGGUGGUAAAUUCCAUCUAAAGCUAAAUAUUGGCGAGAGACCGAUAGCGAACAAGUACAGUGAUGGAAAGAUGAAAAGAACUUUGAAAAGAGAGUGAAAAAGUACGUGAAAUUGUUGAAAGGGAAGGGCAUUUGAUCAGACAUGGUGUUUUGUGCCCUCUGCUCCUUGUGGGUAGGGGAAUCUCGCAUUUCACUGGGCCAGCAUCAGUUUUGGUGGCAGGAUAAAUCCAUAGGAAUGUAGCUUGCCUCGGUAAGUAUUAUAGCCUGUGGGAAUACUGCCAGCUGGGACUGAGGACUGCGACGUAAGUCAAGGAUGCUGGCAUAAUGGUUAUAUGCCGCCCGUCUU
rnacentral:rRNA from 1 species